CAGCAGCCACGGGAAUACGAAGGGUGCAAGCGUUAAUCGGAAUUACUGGGCGUAAAGCGUGCGUAGGCGGUUUGUUAAGUCUGCUGUGAAAUCCCCGGGCUCAACCUGGGAAUGGCAGUGGAUACUGGCAAGCUAGAGUGUGUCAGAGGAUGGUGGAAUUCCCGGUGUAGCGGUGAAAUGCGUAGAGAUCGGGAGGAACAUCAGUGGCGAAGGCGGCCAUCUGGGACAACACUGACGCUGAGGCACGAAAGCGUGGGGAGCAAACAGGAUUAGAUACCCCGGUAGUCCCUGUCUCUUAUAC
rnacentral:rRNA from 1 species